UGUCUCAGUUCGGAUUGGAGUCUGCAACCCGACUCCAUGAAGCUGGAUUCGCUAGUAAUCGCGCAUCAGCCACGGCGCGGUGAAUACGUUCCCGGGCCUUGUACACACCGCCCGUCAAGCCAUGGAAGCCGGGGGGUGCCUGAAGUGCGCUGCCGCAAGGAGCGCCCUAGGGUAAAACCGGUGACUGGGGCUAAGUCGUAACAAGGUACC
rnacentral:rRNA from 1 species